rnacentral:misc_RNA from 1 species
GAUGAAGAACGCAGCGAAAUGCGAUACGUAAUGUGAAUUGCAAAUUCAGUGAAUCAUCGAGUCUUUGAACGCACAUUGCGCCCCCUGGUAUUCCGGGGGGCAUGCCUGUCCGAGCGUCAUUGCUGCCCUCAAGCACGGCUUGUGUGUUGGGCCCCGUCCUCCGAUCCCGGGGGACGGGCCCGAAAGGCAGCGGCGGCACCGCGUCCGAUCCUCGAGCGUAUGGGGCUUUGUCACCCGCUCUGUAGGCCCGGCCGGCGCUUGCCGAUCAACCCAAAUUUUUAUCCAGGUUGACCUCGGAUCAGGUAGGGAUACCCGCUGAACUUAAGCAUAUCAAUAAGCGGAGGA